rnacentral:tRNA from 2 species
CGGCUUAAAAGGUGUUUGAGUGCAAAUCAAAUGAGGGGUCUGAGAUGGCCCUUAAGCCU